rnacentral:lncRNA from 1 species
UUUCUCUCUUUCUUCCUCUCACCCUUUUUACGAUCCAUUUCUCUGAGAAUCACUCAUCCUCCAUUCUUCUCUCUCUCCCUCGCUGAAAUCUUCUUCUUCCUUCACAAUUCAUUUGUUCAAUUCACUAUCUCUUUCUUCUUCUCUUUCGCAACCUUCAAUCUAUCUCAUCCUCAUGAAAAAAAUUGAUUGUCUUCAGUUAUUUCUUCAAUGUUGUAACUUUUCUGAACCCUAAUUUCAAUUUUUUUCUCCUUUAGCUCUGUGAUACAUGAUUUCGAUUCGCCAUGGUUCAAUAACAAUCCUCUCAUGCGAAGGUAAUUCAUAUGUUCUAUGUUAUUAACUUUUUAAUUUUGUUUAGAAAUUUUGAUUAAUGUUCACUGCUUCUGAUCCUGUUGUUGGAAUGUUUUUGUUUACAAAUGAGAACUCUGUUUUGCACAUGGGAGGAAGAUGCGAUUUCUGGCAUUGAUGAUGGUGGUCAUGCUUUAAUGACUGCUCAUAUUUGACAACAUAGAUAAUGGAAGCUUAAAGGAGCAUCUGAAUGACCCCUUGAAGACUCCCUUAAAUUGGAGGACGAGAUUGCAGAUAGCUAAUGGUGUUGUGGCUGCACUGGUAAGCUCUUUAAUUAAAGCAUGUCCAGCUUGAUAGUGCACUCUUAUUUUAAUUUAUGUUACAAUUAAUUUGAAACCUUAUAUUUUAAGUCUCCUAUACUUUGAUUAUGGAUGUGGAAAAGUCCCUGCUAAAUUGACAGGGUUCAGUCUUUACUCUGUGUUAGGCCCCUGUCUAAAGAAAAUUGCUUGGUCAAUUUUGCGAAAUGAAUGAUGGAAAUAUACUAGGCUACUUGGUUUUCUUCGACGAUUGUCUGAGUUAUCUUAUGUCUGUUCAAUUUAUGUUUAGUGUCAUUUAGAAAUUGAUCUUAACCUACCAAAAAUUUGACUUUAGGCAGGAAGGCUAACUACAUGUUUGUUCAACUUAUUAAUCAAUUGUUAUCUAAAGUUGACUGUCAUGACUAAAGUAUAUUAUAUCUAUCGAAGUUUAAAUCCUGUUGGUUUGUUUUGUUUUUCAUAAAAAAUAGGGUAAUUAGUUUAGUUUAGGUUUCAUAAAAAAAUAGGAGAUGAUUUCCUUUUGAUAUGUUGUUUUUGAUUUAUUUUGAUUAAAUUAAAUAGGGUUAAUUAAACAGGGAUAAUACAGUAAAAUUAAUCAUCAAAGUUAGAUUAAGGCCCCGUUUGGAUUGGCUUAUUUUGAGCUUAUGUGGGCUUAUCUACUC